CGACGGCCAUGUUCGCGCGACGCCAGUCGGGAGGACCAGUGCGCCGCGGCGCACCGUGCAAUCGGAUGCCCCCGCUCCGUCACCUCGGUCUGGGAGGACGAAUUUGCGUCUCGCCGUGCGCUGGACGCUGAGCCGCGAGCCGCCGAUGCGCGCGUUGCGCUGAGGCCGCCGCUUCCACGACCUGCUUACGGUAGCGCUCCAUGCGAUGGGUCGCCGUCCCGAUCAGCAACAACCAAGACUAGUAUACGCAAUGGUUAGUUCAUUCGUUCAAAACUGUUAAUGUAUAACUUUGUAUAGAUCUCGCGUAUUCCGUUUGCAUACGGUUGUACAUAUACGCGUAUAGGGUUUAUUUCUUGGUCUCCAAGACUUGUAACACCACUAUAAAUAUAUGAGUCGAUCGCCCCUUGAGAGGCGUCUUUUCCUCAAACUAUUUCACGUUUACAUGGUAUCAGACCUACAUCCUAGAACCUAGCUUCCGCCGCCACCGAAACCCUAAGCCGCCGCCGCCAUCCUCCAUCCGCGCCGCCGCAGCUCCUCCUUCCCCCCAGGCCGCCGCCAUGUCGACCUCCCCCUCCACUUCCCCUGCACUCGGGGUCUCCACCUCAUCCACGCUCCAGACGCAGACCGCCGAGGCCAUGACCUCAUCCGUUGCAUCGCCGGUGUCCCAGGCAGUCCAUGUCGCCAGCGUCAAGACGCAUGUCCCCGUCGCCCUCGACCUUCAGAAGUCCAACUAUGCCAAGUGGCGUAUGCUCAUCACCGUCCUCCUCGGCAAGUACGACCUCACCGGCCACAUCUCCGUCGUCACGCCGCCGGAUGACCGUUCGGCGGACUGGCAGCGUCAGGACUUCGUCGUGCGCUCGUGGAUCUACGGCUCCAUCAGCGAGGACAUCCUCGACACAAUCAUGGCUCAAGAUCAGACCGCGUACGAGGCCUACGCGCUGAUCCGGAACCUCUUCCUCGACAAUCAGCUCACUCGCGCCGUCUACCUCGAGGCGGAGUUCCGGGCCCUCGUCCAAGGCGACCUCACCAUCACCGCCUACUGCCAUCGCCUGAAGGCGCUCUCCGACGCGCUCGCGGACGUGGGGCAACCCGUGACCGACCAAACCCUGGUCCUCACCUGCCUCCGGGGGCUCAACACCUGCUUCUCCGACAUCACCACCCUCGUCACGAUGCAGGUUCCGGCCCCCACCUUCCUGCAGACCCGCUCCAUCCUCCUCCUCCGCGAGAAUCAGCUCGCCAACGCCGCUCCGGGCGGCCCACUGCCAUCCCAAGUCGCCCUCUACGACAACACCACCGGCUCCUCCAGCGGUGGCAAUUCCGGUGGCAAUGGCGGCCAAGGUGGCCGCUGGUCGAGGAAGAAGAAGAACGGAGGCGGGAGCGGCGCCAACUCCAACCAUGCCAACCCUGCCGCCGCGCCCGGUCCGUGGAUCUGCUUCAACCCCUACACUGGGCAGACACAGCAGAUGCAGCCCACCUGGCGCCCAUACGGCGCUCCGGCUGCUGCCACCGGGGGCGCCGGCCUCCUCGGGCCAGCCCCGCGGUCCACCGCCCCGGCACCACCAUCCCGUCAGUCCACCUGGGUGCCCCCGGGCCAGGUCGCCUACACGACCCAGCUGGCUCCCCUGCAUGGCCAGGCGUGGGGCACCAACCCGCCUCCACCCGCAGUGCCCUACCAUCCUCCGGCUCCUGCAUGGGACUGCUCCGCCCUCGUCGCCGCCCUCAACGCCACCACUGGGUCUUCUGCCGCUGGCCCCUCCACGCCGGGUGCCUGGGUGAUGGACUCCGGCGCCACCUCGCACAUGGUCUCCGGCCACGGUAUACACCUCCGCAUGUCCUGCCCAUACACUUCCCCUCAAAACGGCAAGGCCGAACGAGCACUUCGCACGCUCAACGACAUUACCCGCACCUUGCUGUUCCAAGCUUAUAUGCCCCCUGCGUACUGGGCCGAGGCCCUUGCCGUCGCAACCUUCUUACUAAACCGUCGCCCAAGCCAAGCCUUGAACUUCCGGAUCCCGUAUACCCUCCUCUACCAAAAACCCCCCUCCCUCUCCGACUUACGAGUCUUCGGGUGCCUAUGCUACCCCAACCAGUCCGCCACAGCACCUCAUAAACUCGCCCCUCGCUCCACCGCAUGCGUAUUUCUUGGGUACCCUGCAUCGCAUCGCGGUUAUCGGUGCCUCGACUUAACGACACGCCACAUCAUCAUCUCACGACAUGUCGUUUUUGACGAACAUACCUUCCCUUUCGCCACCACUCGCACCGCUCAGUCUCCGGACGAUCUCGAUUUUCUUCUCGACCUGGUCGCCACGCAGCCAGCUCCUACGGUCGUCACGGCUGCGUCACCAUCCCCAUCCCCCUCUCCACCACCACCCCCUCCGCCUUCUCGACGCUCUCGCGACAGCAACGCCUCCACCACCAACACUCACACCAUGCUCACUCGCACCAAGCGUGGUAUUUUUCAGCCCAUUAAUAAACUUAAUCUAUCAGCUGAACAUUCCUCUCUCUCUCCUAUUCCCAAAACAUAUCGCUCUGCUCUCCAGGAUCCCCUUUGGCGUGCUGCCAUGACUGAGGAGUACGAUGCAAUUCUUCAGAACCGCACUUGGACUCUUGUCCCUCGACCGGUUGGUGCUAACAUUGUUUCAGGAAAGUGGAUAUUCAAGCACAAGUUUGGUGCUGACGGUGCUCUCGCUCGGUACAAGGCACGGUGGGUGGUCCGUGGAUUCUCGCAGCAGCCGGGCAUUGACUACGACGAGACCUUCAGUCCCGUCGUCAAGCCGGCCACGAUCCGCGUCGUGCUCAGCAUCGCCGUCUCACAUGCUUGGCCGGUUCAUCAGCUGGACGUCAAGAAUGCCUUCCUCCAUGGCGAUCUUGACGAGGUGGUCCACUGUGAGCAGCCACCUGGCUUCGUCGACCCUACACGUCCUCACCAUGUCUGCCUGCUCCACAAGUCACUCUAUGGGCUCAAGCAGGCGCCCCGCGCCUGGUACCAGCGGUUCACUCAUCACGCUCAUCGACUGGGCUUUGUGGCUUCUCAGAGCGACGUGUCUCUGUUCGUGCUUCGGCACGGCUCUGAGAUGGCCUACCUGCUCCUCUACGUGGACGACAUCAUCCUCACCGCAUCCAGCGCCGCGCUUCUCCAGCACAUCACCGACCGGCUUCAUCAGGAGUUCUCCAUGACCGAUCUCGGGGACCUGACUUACUUCCUCGGGAUCUCGGUCUCUCGGUCCUCUUCCGGCAUGCUUCUCUUGCAGCGGCAGUAUGCCAUCGAUCUCCUUCAGCGCGCUGGCAUGAUGGAUUGCAACCCGUGUGUCACGCCUAUUGACACCCGUUGCAAGCUCUCCGCCGACGAGGGUCCUCUUAUUCCCAACGCCACGGAGUACCGGAGUUUUGCCGGGGCUCUUCAGUACCUGACGCUCACUCGCCCUGGCAUUGCACAUGCUGUUCAGCAAGCGUGCCUCUACAUGCACGCUCCCAGGGAACCUCAUCUCAACCUCGUUAAGCGGAUUCUUCGCUAUGUUCGUGGCACCCUCGACCUCGGUCUACAGCUUCACUCCACACCGGCCACCUCGCUCACCGCCUACUCUGACGCGGAUUGGGCCGGAUGCCCCGACACACGACGAUCUACCUCUGGAUACUGUGUCUACCUCGGUGAUAACCUGGUGUCUUGGUCCUCCAAACGCCAGGCCACGGUGUCUCGCUCCAGUGCCGAGGCCGAGUAUCGAGCCGUGGCCCAUGUCGUGGCUGAGUGUUGCUGGCUUCGUCAACUACUCCUCGAGCUUCAUCGUCCGCUAUCAUCCGCCACCGUUGUCUUCUGUGAUAACGUCAGUGCUGUUUACAUGGCCUGUAACCCGGUCCAGCAUCGCCGCACGAAGCACAUCAAGAUUGACAUCCACUUCGUCCGCGAGAAGGUGUCUCUCGGUCAGAUCCGGGUUCUCCAUGUGCCAUCCUCACAGCAGUUUGCCGAUAUCAUGACGAAGGGCCUACCGACUCAGCUCUUCUUGGACUUUCGGUACAGUUUAUGCGUUCGACCGACGCACAAACUGCGGGGGGAUGUUAACGUAUAACUUUGUAUAGAUCUCGCGUAUUCCGUUUGCAUACGGUUGUACAUAUACGCGUAUAGGGUUUAUUUCUUGGUCUCCAAGACUUGUAACACCAUUAUAAAUAUAUGAGUCGAUCGCCCCUUGAGAGGCGUCUUUUCCUCAAACUAUUUCACGUUUACAAAAACUAAUACGUGGUCAAAACCAAUCAAUUCAUGUAUUAAUUUAGUGAGUGGAUACGCAAACCGGGAUAAUCAUCGAUCCAUUUGACGGAUCUGAUUCCGCAUCUCUGUGGAGAUCGGCCGUGCUUGCCGCCAUCGCCGAUGAAAAAUUUCUCCUGAAUCCUGCUUGGAGUAGCAAUCGGUGUCUCCAUGCUCACAUGCUCGAUCCGGGCGAGUAGUACAUGCAUAAGAUGAGUAGAAGAUAUAUACAUGAUUAAAUCUGUGAUAAUAAUCACAAAAGACAACGAAGUUGAUUCUUCCAAAUCAAUUUCUUGUACGGAUGCAUGCAAACUGAUGCAUUGUCUGUCUUUUUGGUGAAUGGCCUGAGGCGCCGUUCCAAGUCUUGCCGUGAAGAGGGCAGUUACUAAUCAAUUGAUCGUGGAUGCCAACGCCCGUGUCCUGAUCUGUGCGUCUUCCUUGUUCAAGGAUUUCUUCCUGUUUCUGUCUGAGUAGGGAUCGAUCCAUCUCGCUAUCUCUUGGCGCCGCCGUGACUGAUGUCGCCAUCCGUGCCAAGACUUGAUGCUGCAGUCCGCCGCGCCGGAGAGCGCCGGUACCGCUGGGAAUCACGCGAGGCGUUGAGGAGGUUUGUGCAUGCACGCCUCGUUGAUGUGCCCGAGCGCCAGCCUAAUCGCCGAUAGAAUUGCUCCGCCGGGAGGCAUGGCUCCGCUGCAGAGUUCAUCCUUUUCGCUCUUCUUUUCCAGCGAGCCAUCGGCGACGUU
rnacentral:lncRNA from 1 species